GGGCUAGCUCCCGGAUGUUAGCGGCGGACGGGUGAGUAACACGUGGGUAACCUGCCUGUAAGACUGGGAUAACUCCGGGAAACCGGAGCUAAUACCGGAUAGUUCCUUGAACCGCAUGGUUCAAGGAUGAAAGACGGUUUCGGCUGUCACUUACAGAUGGACCCGCGGCGCAUUAGCUAGUUGGUGGGGUAAUGGCUCACCAAGGCGACGAUGCGUAGCCGACCUGAGAGGGUGAUCGGCCACACUGGGACUGAGACACGGCCCAGACUCCUACGGGAGGCAGCAGUAGGGAAUCUUCCGCAAUGGACGAAAGUCUGACGGAGCAACGCCGCGUGAGUGAUGAAGGUUUUCGGAUCGUAAAGCUCUGUUGUUAGGGAAGAACAAGUGCGAGAGUAACUGCUCGCACCUUGACGGUACCUAACCAGAAAGCCACGGCUAACUACGUGCCAGCAGCCGCGGUAAUACGUAGGUGGCAAGCGUUGUCCGGAAUUAUUGGGCGUAAAGGGCUCGCAGGCGGUUUCUUAAGUCUGAUGUGAAAGCCCCCGGCUCAACCGGGGAGGGUCAUUUGGAAACUGGGAAACUUGAGUGCAGAAGAGGAGAGUGGAAUUCCCCGGGGUACCGGUGAAAAUGGCGUAAAGAUGUGGAGGAAACACCAAUGGGCGAAGGCGACUCUCUGGGUCUGUAACUGACCCCUGAAGGAGCCAAAAGCGGGGGGAAGCGAAC
rnacentral:rRNA from 1 species